GAUGAAGAACGUAGCGAAAUGCGAUAAUUAAUGUGAAUUGCAGAAUUCCGUGAAUCAUCGAGUCUUUGAACGCACAUUGCGCCUCAUGGCAUUCCGUGAGGCAUGCCCAUCUCAGCGUUAGAAAAUAUUCUCAAAUUUUAGUUUUGUGCUAAAAUUUGGAUCAUGUCAAGGAAGCUAUUACUAUUAUUGUGAUCGCUCUUUGGAAAUUGAUAGGUAUUUGAGUUGCUACUCAUAGAACGUGAUGAAUCUUUCUUCGUUCUAUUGUAAUUCACUCUGGUAGUCCUAAAAAUUGUAUGCCUGUGGCAUAUCUUGUAAUUUGACCUGAGAUUGGGUAGGGAUACCCGCUGAACUUAAGCAUAUCAAUAAGCGGAGGA
rnacentral:misc_RNA from 1 species